rnacentral:rRNA from 1 species
GAGAGUUAAAUAGUACGUGAAAUUGUUGAAAGGGAAACGAUUGAAGUCAGUCAUGCUAGUGAAAAAUCAGUUUGACGGGUUUUGAGUUCGGGAGUAUAGGCAGGGUCAAACCGUUUCUCUUUUGAACUUGGGAUUUGUUAGAUGUACUUUUUCUUUGGCAGGUCAGCGUCGAUUUCGGAGGUUGUAAAAUACUUGGGGGAAAGUAGCUCUGCUUCGGGAGAGUAUUAUAGACCCUGGGGGAUGCAGCCUGCGGGAUCGAGGAUUGCAGCAAAUGCCUUUGGCUUGUCGCCUGAUCUCUGGAUGUUACCUCGCUUGUGACAACAUUCUUGCCACCUGUGGGUACUAAUGCCCAUUAGGUUAGAGCGAUCAAAAAUUUUGCUAAGGAUGCUGACGUAAUGGCUUUAAACGA